CCUACGGGUGGCAGCAGUGAGGAAUAUUGGUCAAUGGACGAGAGUCUGAACCAGCCAAGUAGCGUGAAGGAUGACUGCCCUAUGGGUUGUAAACUUCUUUUAUAUGGGAAUAAAAUGUUCCACGUGUGGGAUUUUGUAUGUACCAUAUGAAUAAGGAUCGGCUAACUCCGUGCCAGCAGCCGCGGUAAUACGGAGGAUCCGAGCGUUAUCCGGAUUUAUUGGGGUUAAAGGGAGCGUAGGUGGAUUGUUAAGUCAGUGGUGAAAGUUUGCGGCUCAACCGUAAAAUUGCAGUUGAAACUGGCAGUCUUGAGUAUAGUAGAGGUGGGAGGAAUUCGUGGUGUAGCGGUGAAAUGCUUAGAUAUCACGAAGAACUCCGAUUGCGAAGGCAGCUCACUGGACUGCAACUGACGCUGAGGCUCGAAAGUGUGGGUAGCAAACAGGAUUAGAUACCCUAGUAGUC
rnacentral:rRNA from 1 species